rnacentral:misc_RNA from 1 species
UCGCGAAGAAAGAAAGGGAGGAAUGCCGAAACUCAGAUUAGCAAUAGACGUUCUGAUGAUGAGCGGCCGGGCCGUGAGCAUUUGUUCCGAGGGCACAUGGUCACUGGGGAACGUUGGUACCUUGCGAUGCGAAGAAGUAGGAGGAGGACGACGAACCGUUUGGGGAUGGAUUGACACCUGCGGAUCCUUCGUCACCUCGGUUAUUUCCUUCGUUGUCGAAAUGGAAAUGGACGAAGACAACGUUACAGACAAGACUAUAGUUUUGGACCCGAUUUCCAGGCUGAAAAUCGUGACAAAACAAGCCAGCGAAGUAGAGAUCGACAACAACAUACCUCCUAUAAGAUAUUACAAAUCAGGCUUGCAAAUGGUCCGCAUGGCCAAUGUCUAUCUGGAAGAAGGUGCCUUAGAAAACGCCUUUACACUCUACAUAAAAUUCAUGACAUUAUUUCUGGAGAAAAUCAGGAACCACCCAGAGUUUGAAAAAGUUCCAAAAUCCGACAAACAAGUGAACUCACAAAAAUUGAAAGAAGUCCUUCCGAAGGCCGAACAGUUGAAGAAACAGUUGCUAGCACAGUACGAGGAGGAGUACGAUAGAUAUUUGAAAGAUGUGAAGAGGCGGGAGAAGUUUAUGAGGAAUAAAAUGGUCAUUGACGAGAAAUCUAAACCUAGUGUACAAUCAGCCCCAGCGAAGAAUUCCGUAAACAAUAGUCAACCUCUCAAAUUGAAUAUAAAUCCCGUACCUCCGUUGCUCGAAAACCUGAGUUAUCCAAAUAGCGACACUUUUCUUCCUCCGGCUCCAUUUAAAAACUCGAGCGCCGAUAAAAGUGAUUUGAAAUCAAGCAAACCUAUUAUCAACAGAAGUUCAAAGCCUUCAUUCCUCGUCUGUCCCAAUGUACCACCGAGCAAGCUGAGGAUAGUCAUCGUACCUGGAAAUUUGGUGUCGCAGUUUCUCCUUCUCGCGAGGAAGAAUACGGAUUUAAAUAUAGAAACCGGUGGGAUUUUAGCGGGAAAAUUGAAAAGAGAGCAACUUCUCAUCACGCAUUUAUUGGUGCCUGAACAAGUUGGUACGUGUGACAGUUGUACCACUCAGAGGGAAGAAGACUUGUUUGAUUAUCAGGAACAGCACGAUUUGAUUACUCUGGGCUGGAUACACACCCACCCAACACAGACGGCAUUUAUGUCAAGUGUGGAUCUUCAUACCCAUUAUGCCUAUCAAAGGAUGAUUCCUGAAGCAAUCGCUAUUGUGUGCGCUGUGAAUGACAAAUUACGGAUUAUAUUUUAUCAGUAAUUGCACACAGACGGGAUUUCAUCCUCAUCCGACCGAUAACAACAUAUACACAGAGGCGAAGCAUAUUAAACCAGAUCCAAGAGCUUCGCUUGAAAUCGUCGAUUUAAGACGGACAAAACGUUAAUUUAAUAAAUAUAAAAAUAAAUAAAAAAUAAUAAACAGGCAUUAGUGUUGUUAAGAUAUAUGCAUUUGUAUAUCAUGAUGGAGGGUAUCACUAAAACACGUAUUUUAGUAUGCACUGCGAGGGAACAAAAUGACAUAUAAGCAGUUCCAGCUGGCUCGUCACCGAAGUAAAAGUAUUAAUAAAUUUUAUAAAAUCUCCCUUUUUUUCCCCCAGUUUUUGUCACUCUCGCUUUCUCAUCUUUAACCGAAGGUUUUUUUAAAAGAUAUUCAUCAAAACUUGUUUAACAGAUGAUUCUGUAGAAUAUUUAAAGAUGAUCAUACUUAAUAUCGUUAUAACAAUCAAUUUUUUACAUAAUU